AGAAAUGGAAUUAAAAAGACAAGAGCUGGCAACACAAGCAGCCUGGGAAUGUAAAGCUGAGAAAUUUUUCAUCGAAAUUAAAGAGAUACAUGCCAUGGAAAAGAAGGAAACUUCAAAAGAACCAAAUAGGACUGAGAAUGAAAACAUAAUUUAUGAUGCUCCAACUCUGGCAUAUUUCCGGACAGUCAGGUAUACUCAUGUCUUUCUUGUGGGAUUUCAGAAUAGUAGAAUCCUUUGGAAAUAAUGUGGCAGUAUCCUGGUCAAGUUUAAAAAAGAAAACUAUAACCAACCAGCCUCUCAUCCUUUUCUUGGGAAUAUACCAAAUGGAGUGCAUUAUUCAUACAGUAAAAAAGAAAGGUUAUAUUCAUAGAACAUCUCUAGUCGUAUUCUUUUGUGACUCCAAGAAGCUGGAGAUGCCUGAAAUGCCUGACAAGUUGAGACUGAGUGAAGAAAUUCUAGAUGAUCAAUAAAAAAGAAUAAUAUUGGGAAUUAAAAUUGAUCAGUAGGAAAAAAAAGGAAAAUUUUAGAAACACCUCUAUGAAUUAAUGUAUGCAUAAAAAAAUUGAACCAGGAUAAAAAAAAGUACACAGUAAUUUAGUAACCACCCACAAAGUCUCAAGUGUGCUUCAAAUUAAAAGAGAAAUGUCAUACAAAUAGUGAGAAAUGGACAAAAUGUUAAAGAGGCCACACCAGACAAUAACUGAUAAGAAGUUGCCAACAUUAAGAAAAAAAGUUGUCACUACUACAUAGAUUUCAAUGAAUGGAAUAUGUUAUGCCUAAUUCACUCAACUAUGUAAGUGGAAGAAUUGGGUUAGAAGCCAAGAUUCUUGAUACUGAAGUCAGUAACUCUCCUCACUUAAAACACAUACAUCGUGCUGUUGGUUUUGUAUUUCCAGAGAAAAUGCAUUCAAAAAACUAGAGCUAGAAAGAAGGACAACCUGGGAAGAAAAAGCCUGAAGUUGAUCAGUGAAUUGAAAGAGAUGUGUGCCAUGAAAGAAAUUGAAGCUAGGGAAGAUGAAAAGGUCAUUGAAAAGGACAAUCGUUUUUAUGAUGAUUUGACUCUGGCAUCUCAUUUGAGAACCAGAGCAACUGAAUUUGAAAAACAGAAACUGGCAAUAAAGACCAUUUUUGAAGAGAAAACACAGACAUUUCUCAAGGAAAUCAAAGAGAUAUGUGCUAUGGAAGUAAAUUAUGUUACAGAAAUGGAAAACUUGAAUAAGAAGGAAAACACAACCAAAAAAGAAAAGAUUAUUUAUCGUUCUUCCAUCCUGGCACCGCUCUGGAAAAUCGGGUACACACAUAUACUACUAGUGGGAUUUCAGAAGAAUAAUACUUACUUAGGGGGGAAAGUGGCAUAUACUGGAGAAGUUACAAAAGUAACAGCGCACCCCACCUAUGUCACUGUCAGCCUUUUAUUGGUAAUAUACCAAAUGGAGUGCAUAUGCAGAACAGGCAAAAAGUGAGGUUAUGUUCAAAUGACAUUUCUGAUAAUAUUCUUUUGUUAUUCCAAAACCUUGAGAUGCUUGAAAGGUCUGACCAGUUGAGACUAUCGGAAAAAAUUCUAGAUUAUUAUAGAAGAAUACCAGGAAUUGAAAUACAUCAGUAUAAGUAACAGAAAAAUUCUGGCAAUAUCUUUGUGAAUUCUUAUGAGCAUAGAAAAUAAAACCAGAAUAAAGGAGUAUACA
rnacentral:lncRNA from 1 species